rnacentral:rRNA from 1 species
AGCAGCCGCGGUAAUUCCAGCUCCAAUAGCGUAUAUUAAAGUUGUUGCAGUUAAAAAGCUCGUAGUUGAAUUUCGGGACUAAUAUGUCGGUCGUACUUUGUACGUACUUAGCAUUAUUGGUUUCUCCCUUCUGACGAACCACGAUGUCAUUAAUUUGGUGUCGCGGGAAAUCAGGACUGUUACUUUGAAAAAUUAGAGUGUUUAAAGCAAGCUCGCGCUUGAAUACAUUAGCAUGGAAUAAUGAAAUAGGACGUUUGAUUCUAUUUUGUUGGUUUCUAGGAUCGACGUAAUGAUUAAUAGGGAUAGUUGGGGGCAUUAGUAUUCAAUUGUCAGAGGUGAAAUUCUUGGAUUUAUUGAAGACUAACUACUGCGAAAGCAUUUUGCCAAGGAUGUUU